rnacentral:misc_RNA from 1 species
GCUACUUCCUCCAUUAGGUAAUGAUUGAUAUAAGUUGGUCUCUAUCUUUUGGAUCUCUUAUAAAGUUAGCAGCUGUCGCUACCACUCACGACAGCAAAAAAAAAAAGUUUUUGCCAAAAUAAUAGGCUAGUGAAUAUAACGUUCAAAGUUCUUCCUAGUUAGUAUUUCAGAGUCUUCAGAAAAUGAAAUCAAGACAUCUUGAACUUGUCGUACAACACGCUAAAUCAAUGUAGUCAUUAGAAAGAUAUCUCCAUCCACGCCUCCCACAUGAAUCAAUAUACACCAUAAAAUAGUCCU